rnacentral:rRNA from 1 species
UCCCUUAGAUGUUCGGAGCUGCACGCGCGCUACACUGAAGGAAGCAGCGUGUUAGAGCACCUGGCUUGAAAGAGCUGGGUAAUCCGGUGAAUGUCCUUCGUGAUUGGGAUAGGGACUUGUAAUUAUUUCCCUUGAACGAGGAAUACCUAGUAAGUGCGAGUCAUCAGCUCGCGCUGACUUACGUCCCUGCCCCUUGUACACACCGCCCGUCGCUGCCCGGAACUGAGCCGUUUCGAGAAAGCCGGGGACUGACGGCUUGUGGGUGCGCAAGCGCUUCUUGCCGAUGGAAACCAGUUUAAUCGGUAUGGCUUGAACCGGGCAAAAGUCGUAACA